rnacentral:rRNA from 1 species
UUUUAAAAAAUUAUUGUCUACAGCCAUAACUAGCCUGAUUUCAGAAACUAAACAGGAUCAAGCCUGGUUAGUACUUGGAUGGGAGACUACCUGGAAAUACUGCAUAUAGGCUUAUUAAAAU